GGGGAGGAGGGAAGCAUACCAGCAGGGUCACGGAGCUUGCAGUCAGAAAGACUUCUGGGAAGACAGACUGGGGACUGGACCAAGUUCUACCUGUAUGCUUUGGAAGGAUCACAGAGGAUUCGGGUGGUGGCAGAGAAACCCUUCAAAACUAUCACCUGAAGACUUACUUGCCCACCGCCGUCUCAUUUAUCUCUUUAAAAAAAAAUUACAAAUGCAAAAGAGCACAACUUGGGAAAAUGCCACGGAGCCAGGAAAAUGCCAACCUCCAAGUCCUCGAACAACAGCCAGCUCAUCCUGGAAGACGGCAUGGCUGUGCACAUGAGUGUGCAAACAUGCACACACAUAUGCACACAUGGAUACAGGCCGGGCUUUCAAAGUGGACAAAGAGAUGUUUGGGCGUCGCCAUGGUCAUUAACCUGCUUGUCAGCAAGUGCUCAUUGCAUUCCCAAGAUACAAGUGAACACUAAAGAGGAAAAGAAUAACCCAGAAUAAAACAGACUAAAGAGGGCGGGGGUAGCAGUUGUUGCAAAGUUCAGGCAAGCAGGCGGUGUUCCAGGAAUGGGUUGCUACCUUGGAGAACCGUUAGAACACGGAUCCAGCUCACAAGAGACUCGUGUGCUUAAAGACCUUUAAAGGCUCUCCUGCGGCUGUAUCCUUGACUGUCUGCAGAGUCGAACCAAUCAGGCUCCUGAUCG
rnacentral:lncRNA from 1 species